AUACGGAGGGUGCAAGCGUUGUUCGGAAUUACUGGGCGUAAAGCGCGUGUAGGCGGACUCAGAAGUCGGGUGUGAAAGCCCCGGGCUUAACUCGGGAAGUGCGCUCGAAACCAUGGGUCUUGAGGUCCGGAGGGGAUCGGGGAAUUCCCAGUGUAGAGGUGAAAUUCGUAGAUAUUGGGAGGAACACCGGUGGCGAAGGCGCCGAUCUGGACGGAUUCUGACGCUGAGACGCGAAAGCGUGGGGAGCAAACAGGAUUAGAUACCCUGGUAGUCCACGCCGUAAACGAUGUGCACUAGGUGUCGGGGGAAUUGACCCCCUCGGUGCCGACGCUAACGCAUUAAGUGCACCGCCUGGGAAGUACGGCCGCAAGGUUGAA
rnacentral:rRNA from 1 species